CAGGACGAACGCUGGCGGCGUGCCUAACACAUGCAAGUCGAGCGGGGACAUGCGACGGAUUGAAGAUUCGGUUGGAUAUGAAGAUGUAUGUUCUAGCGGCGGACGGGUGAGUAACGCGUGAGCAACCUGUCCCUUACAGGGGGGUAACACAGCGAAAGUUGUACUAAUACCGCAUAAGACCACGGUAGGACAUCCUACAGGGGUCAAAGGAGCAAUCCGGUAAGGGGUGGGCUCGCGUCCGAUUAGAUAGUUGGUGAGGUAACGGCCCACCAAGUCGACGAUCGGUAGCCGACCUGAGAGGGUGAUCGGCCACAUUGGGACUGAGACACGGCCCAAACUCCUACGGGAGGCAGCAGUGGGGAAUAUUGGGCAAUACGGGGGAAACCCUGACCCAGCAACGCCGCGUGAGGGAAGAAGGUUUUCGGAUCGUAAACCUCUGUCCUUGGUGAAGAGGAAGAGACGGUAGCCAAGGAGGAACGCCCCGGCUAACUACGUGCCAGCAGCCGC
rnacentral:rRNA from 1 species